AUUGAACGCUGGCGGCGUGCUUAACACAUGCAAGUCGAGCGGUAACAGGUGUAGCAAUACAUGCUGACGAGCGGCGAACGGGUGAGUAAUGCUUCGGAAUCUUCCUCGUAGUGGGGAAUAACCUGGGGAAACUCAGGCUAAUACCGCAUACGAACUACGGUUGAAAGCAGGGGAUCGCAAGACCUUGCGCUAUGAGAUGAGCCGAAGUCGGAUUAGCUAGUUGGUGAGGUAAAGGCUCACCAAGGCGACGAUCCGUAGCUGGUCUGAGAGGACGACCAGCCACACUGGGACUGAGACACGGCCCAGACUCCUACGGGAGGCAGCAGUGGGGAAUAUUGGACAAUGGGGGCAACCCUGAUCCAGCGACGCCGCGUGUGUGAAGAAGGCCUGCGGGUUGUAAAGCACUUUUAGUGGGGAUGAAAGCCAAGGGCCAAUACCCUUUGGUCUUGACCUAACCCAAGAAAAGCACCGGCUAACUCUGUGCCAGCAGCCGCGGUAAU
rnacentral:rRNA from 1 species